CUGGGAUAAUGUUAAUCAAAUGUACUUGACCUUAAAUAAGGAUGUGUAAAUUUCUUUUUCUGAAGAA
ensembl:snoRNA